GGUGGAGCAUGUGGUUUAAUUCGAUGCAACGCGAAGAACCUUACCUGGGCUUGACAUCCCGGGAACCCCCUGGAAACAGGGGGGUGCCCUUCGGGGAACCCGGAGACAGGUGCUGCAUGGCUGUCGUCAGCUCGUGUCGUGAGAUGUUGGGUUAAGUCCCGCAACGAGCGCAACCCUUCCCUUUAGUUGCCAUCAUUCAGUUGGGCACUCUAAAGGGACUGCCGGUGUCAAGCCGGAGGAAGGUGGGGAUGACGUCAAGUCCUCAUGGGCCUUUACUGCCCAGGGCUACACACGUGCUACAAUGGGCGGUACAAAGAGAAGCGAUCCCGCGAGGGGGAGCAAAUCUCAAAAAGCCGUCCUCAGUUCGGAUUGCAGUCUGCAACUCGACUGCAGGAAGUCGGAAUCGCUAGUAAUCGC
rnacentral:rRNA from 1 species